rnacentral:lncRNA from 1 species
UUUAAUUCCUUUUUCAUAUUUUGUUAUGUAAGGAGAAUUAGUCAUAACAAAAUUGUAAAGUUUAAAGUUUUAAAAUAUUGUCUAGGUCAGAGGUUUUUGUUUUGUUUUGUUUUUUUUUUUUUUUUAAUUGUAGUUGUGAAUCAUUUGAAGAAUCAGGUGGAUUUUUUUUUUCCUGGUAGAAUUUUUGGGAGUGUUCUCCUUAUUGGGAUAGAGUCAUUGAAUUCUCAUUUGGUGCAAGAUCCUGCUAGAUGCCAUAGGCAAUUAUUAGAACUAUAAAUUAGCACACCCCAAUUCAGGGGUUUAUUUUUUAAAGAAAUAGAAGUUUAUCUUUUACUAUGAAGAAGUUUAUUUUUUUACUAUGUAUGUAUGGUUCAUUGUGUACCUAUGUGCUUUGAUAGUUUCAGCAGAAAAUAAUAGAGAAGCAAAUUGUUACUUAAUGCUCUAAAGCAGUUUUGUGACAAUAUAGGUCUUGUUAAUGACCAGUUCAGCAGUCCGCAGUGUUGGGAAACUGAAUCCAAUGUGCUUGGAGGAGGAACGUUGGGAAUUAUGAGUUAGCUGUCAAAAAAGAUACGAUACGGUAAAACAGUAAAUGCAAAUCAUGGAUGAAAUUUAUAAGAUCGCUUCCACAGAAAGGAUCCAGCAGUUAGAAAAAGAAUUGGCUUUGCAACUGACUGCACUAAAGUCUGAGAUAGAAGAACAGGAGACUCAUCAAGCUUACAGCUCUAUUCGAAUGCCCAAGGACAUUUCUUACUUUCGAAGAGAAAGGGAAUUGGCUCUAAAGAAAACUUUACAGGUGGCUGAGUCAAAGCCCCUUGUUGUUCAAGCAGAUGUCAUGCAGAGGGAGCUAGAGAGCUGCCUAAGAAGAGAGUACACUCCUGAAAAUUUACCUUUGCUUCUGUUGCAGUAUUAUACAGAGAGAAUUACCCAGCUGGCCCAGAGUAAAUAUUUACACAUGCUUAGAUGGAAGAGGUUUUGCCAGCACAGUAAGAUUAUGGAGCAACUUUAUUCUCUUUACAAGUCCCUCCAGUAUUUGCCCAUCUCCAAAGUGCUGAGUGUAGCUAUUGAUGAAUUUCCUGAGGCUUGUCAGGAGAAUGAAAAUGUAUGUGUUGAUGACAUCGACCCUAAUAUCCAGAGUUCUGGAUCUCUAGACCCUGUGGAUACUAGCAUUUCAGGGCUGACAAGAACAGAAGCUGCUUUCUCCCUGCCCCAACACAUGACUGAAAGAGAAGGACUGAAACCCCAGCUGAGGCUCCUGCUCUCCCAUUUUAAUAUCCCAUAUGACGUGGAAGAGCUAAGGGAUGCUACUAAGGAAAUGGAACUCUUUAACCUGGUUUCCCAAAAAUUUCAAAGCAUCUUUAUGGAGCAACAGAGAAUGCAAACAUUUCCAGACUAUGAUGCGAAGAUAGCUACUAUGGAGAAUUUGGGUUUGGCAGGACCUGGUAUGGCCUUGAAAAAGAAAGCUAACUGGAUUUCCUUUAUAAAGGUAAGGAGACCUGUAGUGAUAGUCACCUGUCAGUGA